GAUGAACGCUAGCUACAGGCUUAACACAUGCAAGUCGAGGGGCAGCAUUUCAGUUUGCUUGCAAACUGGAGAUGGCGACCGGCGCACGGGUGAGUAACACGUAUCCAACCUGCCGAUAACUCGGGGAUAGCCUUUCGAAAGAAAGAUUAAUACCCGAUGGUAUAAUCAGACCGCAUGGUCUUGUUAUUAAAGAAUUUCGGUUAUCGAUGGGGAUGCGUUCCAUUAGGCAGUUGGUGAGGUAACGGCUCACCAAACCUUCGAUGGAUAGGGGUUCUGAGAGGAAGGUCCCCCACAUUGGAACUGAGACACGGUCCAAACUCCUACGGGAGGCAGCAGUGAGGAAUAUUGGUCAAUGGGCGCAGGCCUGAACCAGCCAAGUAGCGUGAAGGAUGACUGCCCUAUGGGUUGUAAACUUCUUUUAUAUGGGAAUAAAGUUUUCCACGUGUGGAAUUUUGUAUGUACCAUAUGAAUAAGGAUCGGCUAACUCCGUGCCAGCAGCCGCGGUAAUACGGAGGAUCCGAGCGUUAUCCGGAUUUAUUGGGUUUAAAGGGAGCGUAGGUGGACAGUUAAGUCAGUUGUGAAAGUUUGCGGCUCAACCGUAAAAUUGCAGUUGAUACUGGCUGUCUUGAGUACAGUAGAGGUGGGCGGAAUUCGUGGUGUAGCGGUGAAAUGCUUAGAUAUCACGAAGAACUCCGAUUGCGAAGGCAGCUCACUGGACUGCAACUGACACUGAUGCUCGAAAGUGUGGGUAUCAAACAGGAUUAGAUACCCUGGUAGUCCACACAGUAAACGAUGAAUACUCGCUGUUUGCGAUAUACAGUAAGCGGCCAAGCGAAAGCAUUAAGUAUUCCACCUGGGGAGUACGCCGGCAACGGUGAAACUCAAAGGAAUUGACGGGGGCCCGCACAAGCGGAGGAACAUGUGGUUUAAUUCGAUGAUACGCGAGGAACCUUACCCGGGCUUAAAUUGCAUUUGAAUAUAUUGGAAACAGUAUAGCCGUAAGGCAGAUGUGAAGGUGCUGCAUGGUUGUCGUCAGCUCGUGCCGUGAGGUGUCGGCUUAAGUGCCAUAACGAGCGCAACCCUUAUCUUUAGUUACUAACAGGUCAUGCUGAGGACUCUAGAGAGACUGCCGUCGUAAGAUGUGAGGAAGGUGGGGAUGACGUCAAAUCAGCACGGCCCUUACGUCCGGGGCUACACACGUGUUACAAUGGGGGGUACAGAAGGCAGCUACCUGGUGACAGGAUGCUAAUCCCAAAAGCCUCUCUCAGUUCGGAUCGAAGUCUGCAACCCGACUUCGUGAAGCUGGAUUCGCUAGUAAUCGCGCAUCAGCCAUGGCGCGGUGAAUACGUUCCCGGGCCU
rnacentral:rRNA from 1 species